UACGUAGGGUGCAGGCGUUAAUCGGAAUUACUGGGCGUAAAGCGUGCGCAGGCGGUUUGCUAAGACAGGUGUGAAAUCCCCGGGCUUAACCUGGGAACUGCGCUUGUAACUGGCAAGCUAGAGUGUGGCAGAGGGGGGUGGAAUUCCAGGUGUAGCAGUGAAAUGCGUAGAGAUCUGGAGGAACACCGACGGCGAAGGCAGCCCCCUGGGCUAACACUGACGCUGAGGUGCGAAAGCGUGGGGAGCAAACAGG
rnacentral:rRNA from 1 species